rnacentral:rRNA from 1 species
GAUGAACGCUGGCGGCGUGCCUAAUACAUGCAAGUCGAGCGAACAGAUAAGGAGCUUGCUCCUUUGACGUUACCGGCGGACGGGUGAGUAACACGUGGGUAACCUACCUAUAAGACUGGAAUAACUCCGGGAAACCGGGGCUAAUGCAGGAUAACAUGUUGAACCGCAUGGUUCUACAGUGAAAGGCGGCUUUGCUGUCACUUAUAGAUGGACCCGCGCCGUAUUAGCUAGUUGGUGAGGUAACGGCUCACCAAGGCAACGAUACGUAGCCGACCUGAGAGGGUGAUCGGCCACACUGGAACUGAGACACGGUCCAGACUCCUACGGGAGGCAGCAGUAGGGAAUCUUCCGCAAUGGGCGAAAGCCUGACGGAACAACGCCGCGUGAGUGAUGAAGGUCUUCGGAUCGUAAAACUCUGUUAUUAGGGAAGAACAAAUGCGUAAGUAACUGUGCGCGUCUUGACGGUACCUAAUCAGAAAGCCACGGCUAACUACGUG